rnacentral:rRNA from 1 species
UGGGGAAUUUUGGACAAUGGGCGCAAGCCUGAUCCAGCCAUGCCGCGUGAGUGAAGAAGGCCUUCGGGUUGUAAAGCUCUUUCGGCGGGGAAGAAAUGGCGCUUUCUAAUACAGAGCGUUGAUGACGGUACCCGCAUAAGAAGCACCGGCUAACUACGUGCCAGCAGCCGCGGUAAUACGUAGGGUGCGAGCGUUAAUCGGAAUUACUGGGCGUAAAGCGUGCGCAGGCGGUUGUGUAAGUCAGAUGUGAAAUCCCCGGGCUCAACCUGGUAACGGCAUUUGAGACUGCACGGCUAGAGGGUGACAGAGGGGGGUAGAAUUCCACGUGUAGCAGUGAAAGGCGUAGAGAUGGGGAGGAAUACCGAUGGCGAAGGCAGCCCCCUGGGUUACUACUGACGCUCAUGCACGAAAGCGUGGGGAGCAAACA